rnacentral:tRNA from 1 species
GCGGACAUCGUAUAAUGGUAAUACGUCAGCUUUCCAAGUUGAAGACGCCAGGUUCGAAUCCUAGCUGACCGCUCCA